UACGGAGGGAGCUAGCGUUGUUCGGAAUUACUGGGCGUAAAGCACACGUAGGCGGCUUUGUAAGUUAGAGGUGAAAGCCCGGGGCUCAACCCCGGAAUUGCCUUUAAGACUGCAUCGCUUGAAUCCGGGAGAGGUGAGUGGAAUUCCGAGUGUAGAGGUGAAAUUCGUAGAUAUUCGGAAGAACACCAGUGGCGAAGGCGACUCGCUGGACAGGUAUUGACGCUGAGGUGCGAAAGCGUGGGGAGCAAACAGG
rnacentral:rRNA from 1 species